AACGUAGGAGGCGAGCGUUAUCCGGAUUUACUGGGCGUAAAGCGCACGCAGGCGGUUCCGUGAGUCGGACGUGAAAGAUCCUGGCUUAACUGGGAGAGGCCAUUCGAUACUGCGGGACUUGAGGUUGGGAGAGGAGUGUGGAAUUCCCGGUGUAGUGGUGGAAUGCGUAGAGAUCCGGAGGAACACCUGUGGCGAAAGCGGCACUCUGGCCCACACCUGACGCUGAGGUGCGAAAGCGUGGGUAGCAAACAGG
rnacentral:rRNA from 1 species